GCCCCUGUAGCUCAAGAGGAUAGAGCAACAGCCUCCUAAGCUGUGGGCUGCCGGUUCGAGUCCGGCCAGGGGCA
rnacentral:tRNA from 2 species